GCUGAAGCAAUGUCAAAAACACUUUAUUUUCAGGGCUCCAGAACACACUGUACAAGGAAGGAAGCAAACAUCUUCCUGACGGAGCAGGACCAUCAGCGAGGCCUCUGUUGCAGGAUUUCUGUGAACAGACACUGAAGGCCAGGGCCGGUGCCACCACUCAGGGUCCCCUGAGAGGGGCUGUUUGGUGACCACGCUGUGGAGAAGGAGGCUGGAUCACUGCAGCUCUCCCCGGCAAAGACAGAGACAAACACUGAGGGAACAAAAGCUGUUGAGCGUUGGCUCUAACCCAGGCGAUGGAAGACAGGACGCAAGCAGGCCUGGGCGAGCUGAAAAGACCCCAGCAGUUGCCACUCAUCGAGACUUCCUGCACUCGGCUUUGUGUGUGGUCUUG
rnacentral:lncRNA from 1 species